CCUACGGGAGGCAGCAGUGAGGAAUAUUGGUCAAUGGACGAGAGUCUGAACCAGCCAAGUAGCGUGAAGGAUGACUGCCCUCUGGGUUGUAAACUUCUUUUAUAUGGGAGUAAAAUGUUCCACGUGUGGGAUUUUGUAUGUACCAUAUGAAUAAGGAUCGGCUAACUCCGUGCCAGCAGCCGCGGUAAUACGGAGGAUCCGAGCGUUAUCCGGAUUUAGUGGGUUUAAAGGGAGCGUAGGUGGAUGGUUAAGUCAGGUGUGAAAGUUUGCGGCUCAACCGUAAAAGUGCAGUUGAAGCUGGCAGUCUUGAGUACAGUAGAGGUGGGCGGAAUUCGUGGUGUAGCGGUGAAAUGCGUAGAUAUUACGAAGAACUCCGAUUGCGAAGGCAGCUCACUGGACUGCAACUGACACUGAGGCUCGAAAGUGUGGGUAUCAAACAGGAUUAGAUACCCGGGUAGUC
rnacentral:rRNA from 1 species